rnacentral:rRNA from 1 species
GAUGAACGCUGGCGGCGUGCCUAAUACAUGCAAGUCGAGCGAAUGGAUUAAGAGCUUGCUCUUAUGAAGUUAGCGGCGGACGGGUGAGUAACACGUGGGUAACCUGCCCAUAAGACUGGGAUAACUCCGGGAAACCGGGGCUAAUACCGGAUAACAUUUUGAACCGCAUGGUUCGAAAUUGAAAGGCGGCUUCGGCUGUCACUUAUGGAUGGACCCGCGUCGCAUUAGCUAGUUGGUGAGGUAACGGCUCACCAAGGCAACGAUGCGUAGCCGACCGUGGAGGGUGAUCGGCCACACUGGGGCUGGGACACGGCCCAGACUCCUACGGGAGGCAGCAGUAGGGAAUCUUCCGCAAUGGACGAAAGUCUGACGGAGCAACGCCGCGUGAGUGAUGAAGGCUUUCGGGUCGUAAAACUCUGUUGUUAGGGAAGAACAAGUGCUAGUUGAAUAAGCUGGCACCUUGACGGUACCUAACCAGAAAGCCACGGCUAACUACGUGCCAGCCGCCGCGGUAA